AUUUAACACCAUUUAGUGUGAGGCUGGAGAGGGUGUGAAAGGAGAGAUCACUGGGAUCCGCUCCACCGAGGCAGCAACGGUUGCCCGGUAUGGUCGAGGCGUCUCCCGGCAGCUCUGAGGCAUCGGUGAGAACUCCAGGGCGUCUCCCAGGGACCAAAACUUGUGUGAGGCUCGCCGGAGAAGAAGCCCGGAUGGAUCCAGGUAUGGAGUUUGUCUCCGGCGGCGGAACGCAGAGUCCCGGCCUCACCGUCACGUCCCGCUCCUUUUUUCUCCCCCAGGCGCCGUGACGACAGCACCUCCCGUCCAGCAGCUCCAUCGGGGGCCGGAGCCCAACGUGACCAAGCAAGAGAGCAGAAGACCAUCCGGCAGGAGGAACCCACAGGGCCCCAAACCGUCAGCCAGGCACCUAGAGGAGGCAGCGGGGGAUGACAGCUGCGCUCUCUGUCUUCUGGCCACCCUGUUCUGCGAGGUCUCUGUGCUGUGUUCGUCUCUCCCGGGCUGUGUGAGCUGCGGUCCGUGCGGCUG